AGACCCGAAACCCGGUGAUCUAGCCAUGGGCAGGUUGAAGGUUGGGUAACACUAACUGGAGGACCGAACCGACUAAUGUUGAAAAAUUAGCGGAUGACCUGUGGCUGGGGGUGAAAGGCCAAUCAAACCGGGAGAUAGCUGGUUCUCCCCGAAAGCUAUUUAGGUAGCGCCUCGUGAAUUCAUCUCCGGGGGUAGAGCACUGUUUCGGCUAGGGGGCCAUCCCGGCUUACCAACCCGAUGCAAACUGCGAAUACCGGAGAAUGUUAUCACGGGAGACACACGGCGGGUGCUAACGUCCGUCGUGAAGAGGGAAACAACCCAGACCGCCAGCUAAGGUCCCAAAGUCAUGGUUAAGUGGGAAACGAUGUGGGAAGGCCCAGACAGCCAGGAUGUUGGCUUAGAAGCAGCCAUCAUUUAAAGAAAGCGUAAUAGCUCACUGGUCGAGUCGGCCUGCGCGGAAGAUGUAACGGGGCUAAACCAUGCACCGAAGCUGCGGCAGCGACGCUGAUGCGUUGUUGGGUAGGGGAGCGUUCUGUAAGCCUGCGAAGGUGGCCUGUGAGGGUUGC
rnacentral:rRNA from 2 species